UUAUUCGAUCGAUUAGUGCGGCCUUAGUCCACGCACGCACGUAGUGACUGAAAGUAAAAACGCAUGAUACGGCAUCCACCCCGAAAUUGUCGUUCAGGCGAUCGCGGCAUCACGCAGUCACCGGCUCGCCGUCGCCCAUUUCUCGCCCUUGCACGUCGCCGCCGCAACACGGACUCAUCACCAAUUAUGCAAUUCUACCGUUCUAAUUGACAUCAACACUUAAAAGCUACUGGGAAUGUAAUGGAGAGGUUAUUCCAAAAACCAACAAUCUCAAAGAUGCCUGAAAACUAGUUGAUUUGAACAAGCUUCCAAUGCAUCCAUCUAAAAGGAAGAGGACUCACAAACAGAAAGGAAGAGGAUAGCAUAUUACAAUCUCAGUCGACACGAGGAUAUAAGAAGAAAGUAUUUGAUGUGAGGGCCUCAUCAGCGUCGUCCUAAAAAGUUGAAGCCAGGGACAAUUGUGAAGAUCAAUCGACAUUUUAGUGCUAAUUGGUAUGAACCAUAGUCGUAUUUGCUUUGUCGAAAAAGAAUUGCAAAAAAAAAAAACUAAUGUGAUAGUUAAACGUUUUCAUGAGGUGAAAACCAUAGUGGGAUGAAAUGAAAGGUUGUAGGUUGGAUUGUUAAACAAUGUGUCAAUGUUCUCUUUCGCAACAUCGGAACAAGAUAUUGAAAUACUCAUAUGAAGGAUUCAUCAGCAUAGAUUGCGGGCUUCCAAGUGGAUCCAGCUACCUGGACGAGAAAACAGGUCUUAACUACACUUCAGACAAUGGGUACAUAAACAUGGGAGAGAACCACAACAUCUCUGCAGAGUACAAUGCGCAUGAACUGCUCAGGUCAAGUUUGAACCUGAGAAGCUUCCCCAAUGGAGGCCGGAACUGCUACACCUUAUCUCCUGCCACGGCAGGCCUCAAGUACCUCGUGAGAGUAACGUUCUUGCACGGGAAUUAUGAUGGCACUUCUGCUUCGGUACAACCCCCUAAACACAUCAACGGAUAAGAUCUCUCGAUACCUCUUCAUAAUAAAAGAAGCGAUGUCCUAUAUUAGAGGACCAGCAGGCGCCCGACAGCAAACAAAUGUCAAAUAAGGUUUUCUCCCAGCAAACACCCUAUAUUAGAGGGUUUGUAAGGUUUUCUCCCAGCAGGCACCCGACAGC